GUUUUUUUCUAUUUUUUGUAUUUUGACCUAAAGGCCUGAGUUGUGGAGUCAAAAGUUUUAUCCUAAAGUUGACUAAAGAAAAUCUUGAUGUUAUUUGGAGAGCCGUGCAUUCAUACAUUUGUUAUUCAUGUGCAUAAUUCUUUGCUUUAUGUUAGGGUUGUCUAUCAUUGCUUCAUCUUUGUAUAUCAUAUUUUAUGGUAGAAAAUGACGACAAUUUUUUCUAGAUUCAUAUGUCAACAAAAGUAUAUAACUCUGCUGACUGUUUCCUCCUCCCUCCUUUUCCCCUCUAAUUAAAUAAAACCAAAAUGCAAGACAACGACAAAUGAUUUUGUUGGAUGACUUCAAUUGAUUUCUGUAGAAUUUACUAAAAGUUAGUAGAGAAAAUGAGUUACUGUUUCUAGCUGUAGGUUCUGACUGGCUCAUACAAUGAUACCAUGCAAGUAGUAGUUACUAAAUGACUAUUCAUCAAUCCUUUUUUCUCCCCUAAUUUAUAAGCCUGCGAAGCUUCAGUUGCUGAUGCUAAAGUCAAUAUAUUUCUUCUC
rnacentral:misc_RNA from 1 species